UACGUAGGUGGCAAGCGUUGUUCGGAUUUACUGGGCGUAAAGGGCGCGCAGGCGGCGCAUUUUGUCAGGCGUGAAAGCCCCGGGCUUAACCUGGGAACUGCGUUUGAUACGGAUGGGCUAGAGUUCGGGAGAGGAGAGUGGAAUUCCCAGUGUAGAGGUGAAAUUCGUAGAUAUUGGGAAGAACACCGGUGGCGAAGGCGGCUCUCUGGACCGAGACUGACGCUGAGGCGCGAAAGCGGUGGGGAGCGAACAGG
rnacentral:rRNA from 1 species